GGGGCGUGACCCAGUGCCUUGGGCCCGCCGAUGGGAUUUCCAGGGCUUGUCGCGGUCACGCUGUGUAGCCUGCCUGCCAGCGGGUAGCUUGGUUAGCGUGUGUGUCCUGCCGUCGUCUUUUGGGCCAGCUGCUUCUGAAGGGCGCACGCGAGCAGAGGACGGAAGGAGGCAAACGCCUCCCCAGCGGCGCCCGCCUCCUGCCCGGCCGCACCCCGCCCCCGCAGCCGGAUGUUGUGAUUUCUCUCCUUCCACCCGCCCGGUCGCCUUCGGCUUCUACUGCCUUAUAAGGCAGCGCCACAAUCCCAAAUCGUUGAGGUUGCGUUCACACCCUUUAUACAGGAAACGGAGGCUUGCCCAAACUCGGGGAUUGAGGAACAACCGGAUUCGACUAAGUGUCUUUGAUCCAUAUUCAUUCAUUCACUCCUGCAAAAAUACUGCUGUUGUCCCGGGCACCCAGCCAGGUGCCGGAUAUAGUGGUGACAACAAGAAAACCAAAGUCUCCGUGCUUACGUGCUAGGCGGGAAGAAAGGCGGUAAUAACCCUGCCUUGCUGGGUGCACAGAGCAGCCACAAACACUGGCCUCCCUGCAGCCCUGGAAUGCACGUCUCUGCACUGAAUGCACGUCUCUGCACUGAAUGCACGUCUCUGUCCUGAAUGCACUUCUCUGCACUGAAUGCACUUCUCUGCACUGAAUGCACGUCUCUGCCCUGAAUGCACGUCUCUGCCCUGAAUGCACGUCUCUGCACUGAAUGCACGUCUCUGCACUGAAUGCACGUCUCUGCACUGAAUGCACGUCUCUGCACUGAAUGCACUUCUCUGCACUGAAUGCACGUCUCUGCACUGAAUGCACGUCUCUGCACUGAAUGCACGUCUCUGCACUGAAUGCACGUCUCUGCACUGAAUGCACUUCUCUGCACUGAAUGCACUUCUCUGCACUGAAUGCACGUCUCUGCACUGAAUGCACGUCUCUGCACUGAAUGCACGUCUCUGCACUGAAUGCACGUCUCUGCACUGAAUGCACGUCUCUGCACUGAAUGCACGUCUCUGUCCUGAAUGCACGUCUCUGUCCUGAAUGCACGUCUCUGUCCUGAAUGCACGUCUCUGCACUGAAUGCACGUCUCUGCACUGAAUGCACGUCUCUGCACUGAAUGCACGUCUCUGCACUGAAUGCACGUCUCUGCACUGAAUGCACGUCUCUGCACUGAAUGCACGUCUCUGCACUGAAUGCACGUCUCUGCCCUGAAUGCACUUCUCUGCACUGAAUGCACGUCUCUGCACUGAAUGCACGUCUCUGCACUGAAUGCACUUCUCUGCACUGAAUGCACUUCUCUGUACUGAAUGCACGUCUCUGCACUGAAUGCACUUCUCUGUACUGAAUGCACGUCUGCAGCCCUGGAAUGCACUUCUCUGUACUGAAUGCACGUCUCUGCACUGAAUGCACAUCUCUGCACUGAAUGCACAUCUCUGCACUGAAUGCACUUCUCUGUACUGAAUGCACGUCUGCAGCCCUAGAAUGCACUUCUCUGUACUGAAUGCACUUCUCUGCACUGAAUGCACGUCUCUGCACUGAAUGCACGUCUCUGCACUGAAUGCACGUCUCUGCACUGAAUGCACGUCUCUGCACUGAAUGCACGUCUCUGCACUGAAUGCACGUCUCUGCACUGAAUGCACUUCUCUGCACUGAAUGCACGUCUCUGUCCUUCACCCCACAGCAGCCACACAUGGCUGUCAACACUAAAGCGAAAACCAGAAUCCAGUGCCUCAGUCCCCGGAAGACAUAUUUCACCAUAUUUCACGUGCUCAGUCGUCACAGGGAGCUCCAUCAGGUUGAGGAGAAAGGAUGGCGUGAAUCUACGGCUUCUGCGUUGGCAAAGGCUUCCCUAUGGCAAGCAGUGCGACUGGGGGAAUGGUGGUACCAGUUACCAAGAUGUGGAGGAUGGUCCGGUGGGAGCCUUCUGAUCCCUCAAAUUGUCUUUGAAAAGCAGGUCUGCAGCCUCUCAAAAUCCAUGCCCCAGUCCCUGCUGAACAGGAAUGGAGCUGGGAACAGCAGGACUAUAAUCCUGUUUGGAAGGCCGGGGUAAGAGGGUUGAAAGUUCAAAGCCAGUCUAAGUUACACAGACAGACCCUCUCUUGAAGAAAAAAAAUCCAGACAGGGUUUUUCUGUGGCUUUGGAGGCUGUCCUGGAACUCACUCUGUAGACCAGGCUGGCCUCAAACUCACAGAGAUCUGCCUGCCUCUGCCUCCCCAGUGCUGGGACCAAAGGCGUCACCCCCCCAUCCCCACACUGGCUAAAAAUAUGUUUUUUAAAGGAACCGUGUCUCUGUGUUUUCAUGAGUAUUAGACGUCUGGAAUAAGACCUUGGUGUUUCUCCAUUCUGUGAGGCCCUAGUCCAGCUUUGCCAACACAGAAGCCGAGACACAGAGAGGGUGUGUCUGCCCUGGUCCACAGCAGGCCCGGGAAGAGAGCCAAAUGUUCAGAGGACAGGUGUGCAGCAGUUACUGAGAGGGCCCUGUGCUAAAGCUCUUCUGUUAUCUCCUCCGGUGGGUUGAACAGUACCAGAAAUUGCCUCCCGCGUGUUACCACCUCAGCAUCUCAGUGAGUCUGCCCCGUAUCAGCAGUGCCCACGCUUUCCUGAGGAGCCCCAGAGGUCAAGGUUCAGAGGCGCUGACCCCUGACCAAGCAGCGGGAGGAGCAGAGGAGCGUUAGCCUCAACAGGACCUCCCUCACUCCUGCAUCUUCACCCUGCCCCCAAGGUCACUAUUUUCUUAUCUUCUGGCUACUUAUUUACACAGGGGAUCAUAAAGACGUUGCUUUGUUUUUGUUUCAGAAACUUCCUUGCCUCAGAACUCUUGCAUGAGCUAAGACUUUUGGUUUUUAAAUAAAAUUGGCAUAGUCAAAAGGGGCAUCUACUUCUGGGUGGUGGUGGCCGCACGCCUUUAAUCCCAGCACUCAGCAGGCAGAGGCAGGUGGAUCUCUGUGAGUUCAAGGCCAGCCUGGUCUUACAAAGUGAGUUCCAGGACAGCCAGGGCUACACAGAGAAACCCUGUCUCAAAACCAACCAACCAACCAAAGGCAUCUAGCUUUCAUAGUGGCACCUGCAAAUCUCAGGAGUCUCUGAAGCCUUGGUUUCAAAUGUUGUCGCUCAAAAUCUCCGUUCCAAUUCUGAGGGCAAGCCAGGGCCUCAAACAUACUAGAUAAGCACUCUGCCUCUGCUUUAACUAUGUAAAGGUGUGUUACAUUUGUUUGUGCUGCGUUUGUUUAACAAUGUGAAGAUGUGUUGCUUUACCUGCCUAAGGCACCUGAUUGGUCUGAUAAAAAGCUGAGCAGCCAGGAUCCAGGCAGUAGAGGGACAGGCAGAGCUGGUGGGCAGAGAAAAUAAGUGGUAGGCAGAAUCUGGGAGAAAGAGAAGGAAACUCCUGGGGCCAGCCAGACACAGAGUAGGACAUAUAGAAUGAAAGAAAUAUAG